GACGAACGCUGGCGGCGUGCUUAACACAUGCAAGUCGAACGAUGAAGCUGGAGCUUGCUCCAGUGGAUUAGUGGCGAACGGGUGAGUAACACGUGAGCAAUCUGCCCUUGACUCUGGGAUAACUGCGGGGAACUGUAGCUAAUACCGGAUACGACACCUUGUGGCAUCCCGGGGUGUGGAAAGAAUUUCGGUCAAGGAUGAGCUCGCGGCCUAUCAGCUCGUUGGUGAGGUAAAGGCUCACCAAGGCGACGACGGGUAGCCGGCCUGAGAGGGUGACCGGCCACACUGGAACUGAGACACGGUCCAGACUCCUACGGGAGGCAGCAGUGGGGAAUAUUGCACAAUGGGCGAAAGCCUGAUGCAGCAACGCCGCGUGAGGGAUGACGGCCUUCGGGUUGUAAACCUCUUUUAGCAGGGAAGAAGCGAAAGUGACGGUACCUGCAGAAGAAGCACCGGCUAACUACGUGCCAGCCGCCGCGGUAA
rnacentral:rRNA from 1 species